GUAACUCGUUUUUUCGAAGCCACAGUUAACUCUGCUCCUAAAAGCCGCCCGAAAGGGUCAAUGGUGUACCUAGGCCUCGCGCCGAAAUUAAUGGCUAGUCUCUCCGGAGGCAACACCCUCAACUUGCGGGGAACCCCUAAAGCUUCUGCUCCAAAGCCGACGUUCGAAAGCCGUCGGUGGCCAGGUUAAUAGCCUCGGGUACUGGAAAAACGCAGAAGAUGUCACAAUGGGCAAUCCGCAGCCAAGCCCCUAAGUGCGCCGCGAGGCGCAUACGGGGAAGGUUCAGAGACUUGACGGGGGUGGGUGGGGGUUCUGCAUCGCCUGCGGGCGGUCCCUGCUUAAGAUAAAGUCCGUCCUUUCGCGAAAGCGUCAG
rnacentral:ncRNA from 1 species